AUGAAGAAAGGCGGCGGAACGAGCAGCCCCGCCGCGAUGACGGCGGCCGGCGACGCGAAAGAGCAGCACGAGGGAGAGGCCAGGGCUCCGAAACAGUACACGGCGGCGCAUUCGGCUUGUAGCUGGGCGCUGCUCGCGGAGGCGAGGCGGUACAACGCCAUGGAGGAGGAGGAGGUGGUGGAUGAGUACCGGCGGGCAGGCAGACUCCACACCUACGACCAGGACAAGGAGUGGAAGAAGCGCUUUGCGAGGGUCGUGAAACUCAACCAGUGCCCGUGGCCCAAUCACAUGGUUGCUCAGAUCGAGGAAUACAUGUAUUGCCUCGAAGAGGACGAUGACGAAUUUAGAAUAGGGUUUCUUCAUUAA
rnacentral:rRNA from 1 species